rnacentral:lncRNA from 1 species
AAUAUAUUUCAAAAACUGAAAAGAAACAUGUUGGAUCAUGCAUUCGAGAAGUCUAGGUCUUGGGCUGAUUUUUGUUAUGGCAAAAUCCAGGGCUUACUCUCUUAUUUCCUUUCUCUGUGUUGGUAUUUCCUGAAACCUCCUGGCUCCUAUGUUCCCAAUAUUACAGUAUAGAAGAAAGCAGACAAUUUCUUUAUACCUAGUUCCAGCAAAGAGCCUAAGAAGACUGUGAUGGUGCUGUGUGAUAUGUUCAUCUGCUUAGUGGUGCCUCAGUCUUGAAAAACCCACCAAGCCACAGGGAAUAAGGGUCAGGCACAGUAUCUUCCAAACCAGAUGGGUGGGGGUGAGGGUCCUUGGUUUUUUAAUAAGUAGGGCUAAUAUUUCCAAAAGGAAUGAGAAAGAUGACUGGACAGAAGUCACUUCAGAGAUUACACUCUCCUUAUAUCAUCACUUGGGGUAGGAUUUUAACAAGUGAUUGGGAAGGGACAUAAAUAUGCAGAACUUUGUAAGCAGUGAAAUUUGUCCUGUGUUUAUCUUUUUGUCUCACCAAUUCUGCCUGCAGAACAAACUGGCUAAGGAUUUUGAGGUCAAGCUUGCCAUCUUUAUAUCCUUUUAAUGAUGGAAAAAUUAGACAGAUAAGCCAUAUUCUUUGUGGUUUUACAUGAGAAGAUCUUCAUAUAAAGAGGUAGGAUAUAUGAAAAGAUCCUGACACUUGAUUUCUGUGUCACUGUGUUCCAUGAGAAUGAUUAUCAAAACAAGUAUUUUUUUUUCUCCACUUGGAACAGAGAAAUGUGAUCUCAAAACAUGAGUGUUUUAUAGGUCUUGAGUAUUUCCAUGCACUUUGAAUAUUAGGUCACAGGGAAAAAACUAAAACACAAUUCAAAUUUCUAAUAAACAGACCAAGCUAUCAACACCAUUUCUAUUAUAAUCAGGUUAAAGAGUUAAAAGUUUUAUAAAUUUAGUGUUAUUUAAAAACAAAUGACCAAAAUGAUGUAUUAAAAAAAAGAAGAAACUCAAAGCUUACUACUUAAGGGUAAAAAGAGAAGUUGGGGAGGCAAUUUUCUUAUGUAUGGAAAGGUAUUUUAGUAAGUAUUUAAAAAAUCAAGACGUAUGUUAAUUUUUCAAUUUGCUUUGUGACUUCCUGAACAAUUAUAAAGGAAGCAUUUUUCUUGA